rnacentral:lncRNA from 1 species
GGGUGGAUAGGGAAGGACCAUCAGGUGGAGGUGGGGCUAGGCGUGUCUGAGCUCAGACUCUUUUUGGGUGGGUCCUGCUGAAGCUGUUGUUGGGGAUGGGGGUGACAUUCCCAGGUCACUGGAGUUAUGUACCAGGAGGAUUAAGGCUGCCUCUGCUGAGUCAUGCAGGUUGUCAGGGAAGUCGGAGAAAGCUGACAGUCACUGGCCUCACCCAGCUCCCACGCAAACUGAAGGGCUGGUCUCACUCUCACUAUGCCCCCGUAACAGAGUCAGUUUUUAGGCGGAGGGUGAGAAUGGCUUGAAAAUUUGCUGAAUGCUAUCCAUCUCCCAGCCCCCAGAGAAAAGGGCUUUAGUUCCUCCCCCUGCCUGUGAAGUCUGCAGGCCAGAUUCGCGCCCUCCCCUGAGUUCUGGCCAGGAGGCUUCUUGCCCUGUUCAAAUGGUUACAAAGUUCAGCUAGAGAAUUCCUUCUCCCUGUAGAGUUUUACCCCCUGCUCCUCUGGCCGCCCUCCGGAUGGAUCUUUGUGUUGCCAGGCAGGAAUGGGCUGCUUGGGGACCCAGUGAGCUCCGAGGGCCUUUCUGCUGCUUCCUGUACCCCUGUAUUUCGCUCAGCUCUCUGACUUGACUCAGCUCCAGACAUCUACCCCUGGAGAAAGAGCCCAAUGAGAAGUAAUCUCUGAAGCCCAGAUUUCCUAAGGAUGAAGCUUCAGGAGAGGCCUUAUCAAUCCUGACAACAAACUUUUCUCGUCAAUUUAGUUUCAUUUAAUGGAAGUUUUAAAUGUGUAAAGUUCAGAAGGCUAUUAAAAUUGGUUCCAGCUAUCUAAGAUACACACACAACCACACACGCGCACACACGGUAGAGAUAAAUAUGUUCGAAAAUCCAGCUCAAUGUUACUAGAAAAUUUGAUCAGAAUCUGGUGAAAUAAAUAGUAAACUUACUAAAAAUGCCAAAUAUCCCAGAAGCUGCUUAACAUUUGAUCAAAAGCUCUGUCCAGUCAAUUCCUGCUUCUUUCAAAAAUACUCUGCUGAAAAGCCAAAGGAGAAAUGGGGCUGGUACCUUCAAUAUAGAGAAUUCCAAGUAAGAUUAGAUCCCAGAAGGCUUAGUGUGGCUUUCUAGGACUCUCACUAUUAGGCAGUAACCUACCAUUCACCUCUGUUUCCCAGAUUCACCUUGUUAUACCUUAUAACUUAAAAUAUAAAUUCCAACAAUGUACUGCACUCAAAAAAAUUAUUUCUCAAUUUGUUUGCUCAUACUAUUGAUUUUUUUCUAGAAUCUAAAUAAUUGUGAAUUAACUAUGAUAGCAGUAUGCACAAACAGUAAGUGAAAUCAGACCUAUUAAUUCUGAGAGGAAGGAGGUGUCAGGAUUUUCACAGAAGAAGAGCACUAAGGCCAGGCGCAGUGGCUCAUGCCUGUAAUCCCAGCACUUUGGGAGGCUGAGGCAGGCGGAUCAGGAGGUCAGGAGUUCUAGACCAGCCAGACAAACAUGGUGAAACCCCGUCUCUACUAAAAAUACAAAAAUUACACGCCUGUAAUCCCAGCUACUCAGGAGGCUGAGGCAGAAGAAUCGCUUAAACCCGGGAGGCGGAGGUUGCAGUGAGCUGAGAUCGCGCGACUGCACUCCAGCUUGGGCGACAGAGCAAGACUCCAUCAAAAAAAAAAAAAAAAA